ensembl:snRNA Gm26008 predicted gene, 26008
GUGCUCAAUUUGGCAACACAUAUACUAAAAUGAUAGAGAGGAUUAGCACAGCCCCUGUGCAAGGAUGACACGCACAUUUUUGAAGUAUUUUAUUUGUAC